ACUCCUGCGGGAGGCAGCAGUGGGGAAUUUUGGACAAUGGGGGCAACCCUGAUCCAGCAAUGCCGCGUGAGUGAAGAAGGCCUUCGGGUUGUAAAGCUCUUUUGUCAGGGAAGAAACGGUAGUAGCGAAUAACUAUUACUAAUGACGGUACCUGAAGAAUAAGCACCGGCUAACUACGUGCCAGCAGCCGCGGUAAUACGUAGGGUGCAAGCGUUAAUCGGAAUUACUGGGCGUAAAGCGUGCGCAGGCGGUUGUGUAAGUCAGAUGUGAAAUCCCCGGGCUCAACCUGGGAAUUGCAUUUGAGACUGCACGGCUAGAGUGUGUCAGAGGGGGGUAGAAUUCCACGUGUAGCAGUGAAAUGCGUAGAUAUGUGGAGGAAUACCGAUGGCGAAGGCAGCCCCCUGGGAUAACACUGACGCUCAUGCACGAAAGCGUGGGGAGCAAACAGGAUUAGAUACCGGGUAGUCCCAUGA
rnacentral:rRNA from 1 species